AUUGAACGCUGGCGGUAUGCUUAACACAUGCAAGUCGAACGCGAAAGUACCUUCGGGUAUAAGUAGAGUGGCGGACGGGUGAGUAACGCGUAGGAAUCUGCCUAGUAGUGGGGGACAACCAGAAGAAAUUCUGGCUAAUACCGCAUACACCCUACGGGGAAAAGAGGGCCUCUUCUUGAAAGCUCUUGCUAUUAGAUGAGCCUGCGUCGGAUUAGCUAGUUGGUGGGGUAAUGGCCUACCAAGGCGACGAUCCGUAGCUGGUCUGAGAGGACGAUCAGCCACACUGGGACUGAGACACGGCCCAGACUCCUACGGGAGGCAGCAGUGGGGAAUAUUGGACAAUGGGCGCAAGCCUGAUCCAGCAAUACCGCGUGUGUGAAGAAGGCCUGCGGGUUGUAAAGCACUUUCAGAAGUGAAGAAAAGUUUAAGGUUAAUAACCUUGAACCCUGACGUUAACUUCAGAAGAAGCACCGGCUAACUCCGUGCCAGCCGCCGCGGUAAUU
rnacentral:rRNA from 1 species